AAGAAUGUCUGUGACCUCGUCCCCUGGCGACCACGUCUACAGUGACUGAGUGCUGCCGUGGCUGGAAAGCCAGGGUCUGCAUCUCCCAGGACCUCAGGACCUGUGAUGAGGGGAUCCAGAGUGCGAGGAUAUCCAGAGAGCUGGAAUGAGGAUUUUGCUGAGCUGAGGGCUAAGCUUGAAGCAGAAGAAACCACAGUAAAAACACUGGUCAAUGUAUGGCAGGGCUGAGCCUCUGUGCCCGGCCAGACUAAGCAGGCUUCAUGUGUCCAACAGCUAUGUUGGGCAGGUGGCUCCGAGCUGGAGGGCACAGGUUUGGAUGGAAGACGACUGCGUGUGAAAGCACCACUGUGAGCCUUGCGGGGAUGCAGAGCCCAUGGCACAGGCCGCUCCUGAGUGACUUCUCCAGAACCUGCCUGCUAUAAGCGCUCAGGUCGGAUCUACUCAGCGACUUUCCAGAGAGCCGUGUGGCUUUACUAAUGACAGACAUCGUGGUGCAUUCCAGACCCCUGGGCUUGUUCAUCUGACGUCACUGCAACCUCCUGAUUCCACUCAAUAGGCCAAGACAAGCGGAAGCUCCGGUUCA
rnacentral:lncRNA from 10 species